CUUUGCUCAGGUGCUUUGGACGAGGAUGGUUGUGGAUUGCAAUUUAAAACUGUCGACGCGGUCGGCUGUACACAAAUCAUCGUGGCGUCAGGAAAACUUUCUGCGAAAGAAUAUUCUUCUAUGUUUGACGAUACUGCUGUGUAUGAUACUGGAGACAUCAACGGUUCAACACAUUGCAUCAUCCAGGAACCAGGACCAGAAAGGCAGGAUGUGGUAGGCCCUGUUGUAACUGCACCCUCUGCUUCACCAGUCGAGGUCGGAUAUUGUUCCGUCGUACCACUAUUUGCCUCAAUAUCGGCCCGGUAGUUCUUUUUUCCUGGACGACGGGUAAUAGCAUGCGUAGGAAUAUGUUCCGACGUGUUUAACAGUCGAAUUGCUUUACCGGGGCCAUGUGUCAAUUUCGCGGCCGAUGGAAUGUGGAUUUGAUCUUUGCUACACGAAGCAACACUCGAACUAGGCGCGGACGCAUCUUGCACGUGCAGCACUGCAACCUGUUCCAACGGUGGUAGAUCAUUCAUAGCCGUAUUAGGCACAUGGGACCUGAGCGUUGCUUGCGUGGCAAGGAUAUCCAAGGCCGACAUUAAAUGGAUUGCACUUUGCGCACCUUGUUCAGUCUCCGUUGCCAUAAGGCGCGCGUGUUUAGCCGGCGUCGACAUCUGCAAUUUGAAAAGCUCGAUUGCUUAACUCGUCGAAACAAACAAACUGCAACGAAUGCGGACUGAAAUUACGAAUGACAAAUACAAAUAAUAAAAGGAUCUACGCACUUUACGAUGUUGUCGGUACCGAAAUGCAAACAAAUGUGAAUUGACAGUCGAAAUAAACCGGCGUAAGCGAUGAUACACACACAAA